rnacentral:miRNA from 1 species
UAUAUGUAUGUGUGCAUUUGAAUGUAUGUAUGUAUAUAUGCACACAUACACACAUAACUAGCAGCAAG